AUACUUACUUGGCAGGAGAGACACCAUGAUCACAAAGGUGGUUUUCCCAGGGUGAGGCUCAUCUGGGCAUGCUGACCCCUGCGAUUUCCCAAAAUGUGGAAAACUCAACUGCAUAAUUUUACAGUGGGCCAUUGGUAUCAGCUCGUGGAUACCAAA